rnacentral:rRNA from 1 species
CGUAGGGGCCAAGCGUUGUCCGGAUUUAUUGGGCGUAAAGAGCUCGUAGGCGGUUGGGUAAGUCGGGUGUGAAAACUCCAGGCUCAACUUGGAGAUGCCACCCGAUACUGCUCUGACUUGAGUUCGGUAGGGGAGUGGGGAAUUCCUGGUGUAGCGGUGAAAUGCGCAGAUAUCAGGAGGAACACCGGUGGCGAAGGCGCCACUCUGGGCCGAAACUGACGCUGAGGAGCGAAAGCGUGGGUAGCAAACAGGAUUAGAUACCCUGGUAGUCCACGCCGUAAACGUUGGGCACUAGGUGUGGGCCCUAACCAACGGGGUCCGUGCCGUAGCUAACGCAUUAAGUGCCCCGCCUGGGGAGUACGGCCGCAAGGUUA